rnacentral:tRNA from 1 species
GCCCGAGUGGCGGAACCGGUAGACGCACGGGACUUAAAAUCCCGAGGCCGAUAGGCCGUGUGGGUUCAACUCCCACCUCGGGCACCA